UCACUACGGAAUAGCUCCGGGAAACUGGAAUUAAUACCGUAUACGCCCUCCGGGGGAAAGAUUUAUCGGUGAAAGAUCGGUCCGCGUUAGAUUAGAUAGUUGGUGGGGUAAUGGCCUACCAAGUCUACGAUCUAUAGCUGGUCUGAGAGGAUGAUCAGCCACACUGGGACUGAGACACGGCCCAGACUCCUACGGGAGGCAGCAGUGGGGAAUCUUGCACAAUGGGCGAAAGCCUGAUGCAGCCAUGCCGCGUGAAUGAUGAAGGCCUUAGGGUUGUAAAAUUCUUUCGCUAGGGACGAUAAUGACGGUACCUAGUAAAGAAGCCCCGGCUAACUUCGUGCCAGCAGCCGCGGUAAUACGAAGGGGGCUAGCGUUGUUCGGAAUUACUGGGCGUAAAGCGCGCGUAGGCGGACUAUCAAGUUGGAUGUGAAAUCCCAGGGCUCAACUCUGGAACUGCAUUCAAAACUGGUAGUCUAGAGGCCAGGAGAGGUCAGUGGAAUACCGAGUGUAGAGGUGAAAUUCGUAGAUAUUCGGUGGAACACCAGUGGCG
rnacentral:rRNA from 1 species